rnacentral:rRNA from 1 species
CACGUAGGGCGCAAGCGUUGUCCGGAAUUAUUGGGCGUAAAGAGCUCGUAGGCGGUCUGUUGCGUCCGCUGUGAAAACUCGGGGCUUAACCCCGAGCCUGCAGUGGAUACGGGCAGACUAGAGGUAGGUAGGGGAGAAUGGAAUUCCCGGUGUAGCGGUGAAAUGCGCAGAUAUCGGGAGGAACACCGGUGGCGAAGGCGGUCUGCUGGGCCGUUGCUGACGCUGAGGCGCGACAGCGUGGGGAGCAAACAGG